rnacentral:misc_RNA from 1 species
GAUGAAGAACGCAGCGAAAUGCGAUAAGUAAUGUGAAUUGCAGAAUUCAGUGAAUCAUCGAAUCUUUGAACGCAUCUUGCGCUCCUUGGUAUUCUGAGGAGCAUGCCUGUUUGAGUGUCAUUAAAUUCUCAACUACACUGACUUUGAAUUGGUGUGGCUUGGAUUUGGGGGGAAAAUUGUUGUGGGCUUUUUGUAUAGUCUGCUCCCCUGAAAUUGAUUAGCGGUACCUUUGUGGAACUGUCUACAGGUGUGAUAAUUAUCUACAUCUUAGACAUCUGCUGGAAUGCUGCUUUCUAAACCUUACUUGUAUUGACAAUCUUGACCUCAAAUCAGGUAGGACUACCCGCUGAACUUAAGCAUAUCAAGCGGAGGA